UUUUAACAAAAAAAUAAUUACAAUAUAUUAAUAAUUAAAUCAAAACACAAAAACACUGUUCAUCUUCUUCUCCACUCACCCUCGUUACACUUACCCACCCCCUUCCCAAGACCAAAACACACAAAAAUCAGUUCACUAGCUGGAAUAUGUUCAUCAAGAUUCUCUAAAUGUUAAAGAAGCUGACAGUUAUUUGAAGUAAAGUGGUGGAUCAGUUAACAGCUCAGGGACGCCAUUUGUUGCCUCCGUUUCAGGCCAGAGAUCUUCAGUUCCAACACCACCAAUUUCAAAACUGCAGCAGGAUCUCGAAGAUAAACAAUGCGAAAACAGUAAUAUAAACUGCACCCUAAAGAGAGAUCGUGACGAAAAAUAUGGUGUUUCCACCACCACCACCACCAUCGAUAGAAGCGCCGUGCUAGUGCCCGCCACCGCCGAAGGGGAAAUGACAAGAAGACCUAGAGGCAGACCCGUCGAUUCAAAGAACAAUCCAAAACUUCCUAAUUAUCAUUCGAGACAGUGCAAAUGUACUCAGAUCCGAGGUCGUGGAGGUUGCCAAUGACUGCAAUAUUCAAGAAAGUGUCUCCACUUUCACCACUUGGUAGUAGAGAGGUGUACGCAUUAUGAGUGGUAGUGGAUUUAUUUUGUUGGGUUUUGGUUUUGAUUGGGUGGGUGGGUGGUUGGGUGGGUAGGUGCGAGGGAAUGGGUGGAGAAGAA
rnacentral:lncRNA from 1 species